AGUGAACGCUGGCGGUAGGCCUAACACAUGCAAGUCGAACGGCAGCACAGUAAGAGCUUGCUCUUACGGGUGGCGAGUGGCGGACGGGAGAGGAAUACAUCGGAAUCUACUUUUUCGUGGGGGAUAACGUAGGGAAACUUACGCUAAUACCGCAUACGACCUACGGGUGAAAGCAGGGGAUCUUCGGACCUUGCGCGAUUGAAUGAGCCGAUGUCGGAUUAGCUAGUUGGCGGGGUAAAGGCCCACCAAGGCGACGAUCCGUAGCUGGUCUGAGAGGAUGAUCAGCCACACUGGAACUGAGACACGGUCCAGACUCCUACGGGAGGCAGCAGUGGGGAAUAUUGGACAAUGGGCGCAAGCCUGAUCCAGCCAUACCGCGUGGGUGAAGAAGGCCUUCGGGUUGUAAAGCCCUUUUGUUGGGAAAGAAAAGCAGCAGGUUAAGACCCCGCUGUUCUGACGGUACCCAAAGAAUAAGCACCGGCUAACUUCGU
rnacentral:rRNA from 1 species